GACGAACGCUGGCGGCGUGCUUAACACAUGCAAGUCGAACGGAAAGGCCCUGCUUUUGUGGUGUGCUCGAGUGGCGAACGGGUGUGUAACACGUGAGUAACCUGCCCUUGACUUUGGGAUAACUUCAGGAAACUGGGGCUAAUACCGGAUAGGAGCUCCUGCUGCAUGGUGGGGGUUGGAAAGUUUCGGCGGUUGGGGAUGGACUCGCGGCUUAUCAGCUUGUUGGUGGGGUAGUGGCUUACCAAGGCUUUGACGGGUAGCCGGCCUGAGAGGGUGACCGGCCACUUUGGGACUGAGAUCGGGCCCAGACUCCUACGGGAGGCAGCGGUGGGGAAUUUUGCAAAAGGGGCGGAGGCCUGAUGCGGCAACGCCGGGUGCGGGAUGACGGCCUUCGGGUGGUAAACCGCUUUCGCCUGUAACGAGGCGUGAGUGACGGUAAUGGGUAAAGAAGCACCGGCUAACUACGUG
rnacentral:rRNA from 1 species